UACAGAGGCCUCGAGCGUUGAGGCGGAAUCACUGGGCUUAAAGCGUGUGUAGGCGGACCCCUAAGUACCUUGUGAAAUCCCACGGCUCACCCGUGGAACGGCUGGGUAUACUGGGGGUCUUGAGCCACCUAGGGGCGAGUGGAACAAAUGGUGGAGCGGUGAAAUGCGUAGAUAUCAUUUGGAACGCCAAUGGUGAAAACAACUCGCUGGGGGUGUGCUGACGCUGAGACACGAAAGCCAGGGGAGCGAACGGG
rnacentral:rRNA from 1 species